rnacentral:misc_RNA from 1 species
AAAUGAGCCGGACGGUCUCGGCCUCGACGGGCUCGACAGCGAGGUGCUUCUUGAUCUUUUGUCCCCGCCGCUCAGCUUCGACAAUGGUGUAACCGAGCGGAGGCGAGGCGNNNNNNNNNNNUUGGCAUUCUCCUUCAUCGCCCUGGUCACGUUCUUGCCGUUUUCCUUCGAGGUGUACUCGUCGAAGAUGCCGAUAAUCUGACGCAUCAUCUCCUGCGACGGAUCGGUGCCUGUCGGUUGCGUCAUCGA